UGGGGAAUUUUGGACAAUGGGCGAAAGCCUGAUCCAGCAAUGCCGCGUGUGUGAAGAAGGCCUUCGGGUUGUAAAGCACUUUUGUCCGGAAAGAAAUCCUCUGGGUUAAUACCUCGGGGGGAUGACGGUACCGGAAGAAUGAGCACCGGCUAACUACGUGCCAGCAGCCGCGGUAAUACGUAGGGUGCAAGCGUUAAUCGGAAUUACUGGGCGUAAAGCGUGCGCAGGCGGUUUUGUAAGACGGAUGUGAAAUCCCCGGGCUUAACCUGGGAACUGCAUUCGUGACUGCAAGGCUAGAGUAUGGCAGAGGGGGGUAGAAUUCCACGUGUAGCAGUGAAAUGCGUAGAGAUGUGGAGGAAUACCGAUGGCGAAGGCAGCCCCCUGGGCCAAUACUGACGCUCAUGCACGAAAGCGUGGGGAGCAAACAGGAUUAGAUACCCUGGUAGUCCACGCCCUAAAACGAUGUCAACUAGUUGUUGGGGAUUCAUUUCCUUAGUAACGUAGCUAACGCGUGAAGUUGACCGCCUGGGGAGUACGGUCGCAAGAUUAAAACUCAAAGGAAUUGAC
rnacentral:rRNA from 1 species